rnacentral:misc_RNA from 1 species
UUUGUUUUUUAAUAAAAACUAGAAUGAAAGGUUAUACAUUUAAAUUUCUUUAUUAAUUUCUUAUAUAUAAUUUAUAUUAAAUAUAAAAAUAUAUUUUUUAAAUAAAAAGACGAUAAGACCCUAUUAAAUUUUACUUAUAGUUUAACUGGGGAAGUUUUAAAAAUAAAAUUUUUUAUAAAAAUAAAAAUAAAUCUAAUAAAAUUAAAAUUAAAUUAAAUUACUAUAGGGAUAACAGCAUUAUAUUUUUUAAAAGUUCAUAUUAAAAAAAAUGAUUGUGACCUCGAUGUUGAAUUAUAUUUUCUUUAUUAAUGCAAUAAUUAUAAAAGUAGAUCUGUUCGAUCUUUAAAAUAUUACAUGAUUUGAGUUCAAACCGGUGUAAACCAGGUUGGUUUCUAUCUUUUUAUAAAUUCAUAUAUAUAUAUAUAUAUACAUAAAUUUUUCAAGUACGAAAGGAAAAAAAAAUUUUUAUUUUAAUUAAUUAGCAAUUAAUAUGCAUUAGAUUUAGAAUCUAAAUAAACUAUUAUU